CAAUAGCGUAUAUUAAAGUUGUUGCGGUAAAAAAGCUCGUAGUUGGAUUUCUACCGAAGAUAGCCGGUCGGGUCUUCGACCUUGUAUCUGGUUUUGUCUUUGGUAUCCUCAUAGGGAACGUUUCUGCGCUUUAUUGCGUGGUGCGGUAUCUAUGACUUUUACUUUGAGGAAAUUAGAGUGUUCACGGCAGGCAAACGCCUUGAAUAUAUUAGCAUGGAAUAAUAACAUAGGAUCUUCGUCCUAUUUUGUUGGUUUCUAGGGCUAAGAUAAUGAUUAAUAGGGAUAAUUGGGGGCAUCUGUAUCAACGCGUCAGAGGUGGAAUUCUUGGAUUGCGUUGCGACAAACUACUGCGUAAGCAUUUGCCAAGGAUGUUUUCAUUGA
rnacentral:rRNA from 1 species